rnacentral:rRNA from 1 species
GCCUAUGUAGUCUGCUGAGUUGUAGCUGAUCUUUUCAGAUAUGUGCACACCUCUAUCUACACACCCAUGUGCACCUUUUGUAGGCUUUUUUGCCUAUGUUUAUUAUUAUACACACACAAUUUUGUACAAAAAUGUUAUUGAUGAAAUUUAAUACAACUUUCAACAACGGAUCUCUUGGCUCUCGCAUCGAUGAAAAACGCAGCGAAAUGCGAUAAGUAAUGUGAAUUGCAAAAUUCAGGGAAUCAUCAAAUCUUUGAACGCACCUUGCGCUCCUUGGUAUUCCAAGGAGCAUGCCUGUUUGAGUGUCAUUAAAUUAUCAACCUCUUCAAAAGGCUUGAAUUUGGAGGGUUGCUGGCUUAUUGUUGGCUCCUCUUAAAUGAAUUAAGCUUGGGGGUAGGCUUUGGUUUGAUAAUAUCUAUGCCAUCGCUGUAAUGCAAAACAACCUUGAAAUUUGACCUCAAAUCAGGUAGGACUACCCGCUGAACUUAAGCAUAUCAAUAAGCGGAGGAAAAAAAACUAACAAGGAUUCCCCUAGUAACUGCAAGGGAAGCGGGAAAAGCUCAAAUUUAAAAUCUGAUAGUCUUUAUGGCUGUCCAAGUUGUAAUCUAAAAAAGUGCUUUCCGCGCUGGACCGUGAAAGUCUCUGGA